UGUGUGUUGUGUGUGUGGUGUGUGUGUGUGUGUGUGUGGUGUGUGUGUGUGUGUGUGUGUGUGUAUACAUACAUACACACACACACACACACACACACAUAUAUAUAUAUACUAUAUAUAUAAUAUAUAUAUAUAUAUAUAUAUAUCAUAUAUAUAUAUAUAUAACGACACACACACACACACAC
rnacentral:snoRNA from 1 species